CCUCUGUCCAAACUGGAGUGUGAGGGACCACUACACUGCCCUGGGUGGGUGGAGCCAAAUCUGCCCCGCCUCCUCACAGGAAGUACUAGGGCACGACAGGAAGUAGAAAAGGAGAGCCCUGGAGCUCAGUUGCUGCUGAGCUACAGGAGAGAGUGGAUGUGUCUUCUAGGGAGCAGACUCCUGUGCAAGAGCCCUGCCUGGCCCCAGAGUGGACCAACACCUAGCCAUCAGGGGAGGCACACGAGGACCCUGGGGAGCUGCCAGAGCUAGCAGCAACUGAAUACCCUGAGGAGACGGGGGAUUGUUGGACCAUGGGACCCUACACCCAGACUGUGGUAGGAAGUAGCUGAGAGGGACCAGACUCUAGUCCAGUUCUGCUGCUGGAGUGUUCUCAGUGACACUGCUAAUGGACUCCAUCUCAAGCUGAGGAUGGUUGAGAAGGAACUGAAAGGGUUGGGCCGUGCGCAUUCUAUAUGAGGCAUCAGUGAGACUGCUACUGUGCAUGCGCACCCCAACCAGACACUGCUACUGAAAAUCUCUGAUCGAUUGGUGCCGGGAGACACUGACACCUGAAAUGGAGGACCUGCAGGGACAGCAUUUGAAGAACAUUCCCUCCCUCAUUUCCUCCUUAGAGUAAGACUUGGAGAAAUUAUGCUCUCAUUAAAUGCCAGCAGGAUUCUCAGAGAGCUCGGAGAAGUUGUAACAGCCCAAAUUUGAGAACUGUUUUCCUUCAAGACAGCCACAAGGUUUAGUUAAAUUAGGUUUAACUGAUUACUAAUGGGGGACCUGAAAUGCUUUCUAUAAGGACAGAAGGCAAUUUAGAUCCUCACUAUAAACAAUGGAUUAAGAAGCUUAGUUACAAAUUCAAAAUGUGAAACAAAUUACACAAGCCUCAUAAAACAAUUAAAUCAUUACCAAAGUAUGUGAUAUGACAGUAUCAAUGGGCUGUUAUAGCACACACUAGGCAGAGCAAGAUCAGGAGUCUGUCAGGAAUCCUUCCUAGGCCCAGGACUAUCUCCCCAUUUCCAGUGCUCUUUUUCCCUUUAUUCGUUUUUCAUGAUAGUUUCUCCUCUCUGCCCUCCUUCCCCCCCGCCCCCAAAGCAAAUGCAAAAACAAACAUCACAGCUGCACUGCUCACAGAUCAGUACAUUCGAAUCAUAUGGGCGGCUGGCUUGCAGCUGCUGCUAACACUACUUCUCAACCAGAAGUCCAUGAUUGUUCCAACCAUUCAUCCAAUGUUUUAAGAUUCUUAUCCAUUCAGCAAUUCUUGAGUGAUAUUGACUUUUUUAGACAAUGGACUGGGACUGUUAUGUAGACUUCUGUAGCUGCUAUGAGCUGUUAUCUGCUUGAGUUUUAGAGGGCCAUUGGGUUCCUUCACUUUAAAAGAUCUCUCUGUUCCACAGGGACACAUGAGCGUAGUAUACCGGGAUUCAGAUUCUCUCUGACAUGCUGCAAGUUGUGUGACUGCAGCAGGAGGUAUCCAUGUACAAUAAUAACCCCAGGAUCCAGAUAUGAGACUCUGAAAGAUCAUAUGUACCUCUCUGAUAACCAGUGCCAGACUUCAGACUCACAGUGCAAUCUCCAUUGGGGCAGACAGCAUACUUCUCUUUACAGUGACCUCUCUCAGUCUAUAAUCUAGGCUGUAAUGCUAGCCCAAGGGCUGCCUUCUUCAGUGGGGAAGGAAGAAAAGAACUGAAUGUGAUUUUUUCCUAGUAGAUUUUGUACAGUUUUGCAGGUAAUAACAUUGUUUUCUGUGUGCUGUGAGAGAUGCUGCCAGUUGGAUGAGUGGGCCCUGCGUCCUAGGAUAGAUCGAUCCCAGAGGUUCCAUGUCAUUUCCAGGGGAUUUGCUAAAGAAGCUACUUAUGUCCCUUUUUCAUUUUCACCAGCUCAUUACCAGCUGCUGCUGCUUCAUGCAAUUCAGCAACACCUGCAGGAAUGAAACCCUCCCCCGCCCCCUUCAAGCCAAUUCUGGUUUAGAUAACUUUCUUUAUAAUUAAAAACAAGACAACAUUAAAACAACUGAUCAGACCCCAAAACUGAAACCAUGUCACAUCAGCACACAAGGUUGGUUUGUUUGUUUUUUUUCCAUUUUUUUUUUAAAAGGGCAGCCCAGCUCCAGACUAAGCAACUGAUCCCUGGCUUAACUUUUAAAUUAAGACCAUUGUAAAUUUGGGAACUUGAGAAGAGAUAGAGAGGAUACCCAUAAUCCUUUGCAAAUGUCAAGUGGCUCUCAAUAUUGGUUACUUUUCAAAGGUAGCUAGGUUACAAUGUACUGCACUAAUGAAAAAGCCCUGUCAGGACCACUCCAUAGGGUUUCAGUCAAUAUGCAUAAUAUUAUUGGGCUUUGGAAGGAUUAAAGAUUGUUUCUCCUGCUUCCUCAUAAUAUGGUGAUCUCUUGAGCUCCAGGCACAGAAGGUGCCUCCUUGUUUAAAGAGGUACACAGAGAACUUUAGCAUUAAACAGGAGGCCAGGAUGCCCCUAUCAAUUGCUCCCCCUGGUGGCGAGCUUGUUUAUACAGACAAUAUUUUUCCAUUCAAAUAUGUCUCAGUUUUAAAUAGUUUACAUAAACUGCUCUGAUUGCUGUUAUUGAUAGUUUAUUCAUUCCAUUUAUUAAGUGAUCUUGAUAUAAAAAAAUUCCACCUGAAUCCCUUUAUCAAGUGCUUUCCAAAGGCUUAAAGGAGAAAUGAAAUGUUCUUAAAGUAAAUUUGAAAAGAUGCUUAAGAUUCUAAAUCAUUAACAGAAUAUGGGGAUGGAUUUAGAAAUUAAAAAUACAUUCUUGAACAAAAUAUCUGAAAAAUCAUUUCCAUUUUACAUAUCUGUCUGAAGUUGAAUUCAGUACUGAGGUUUCCUGUCCAAGUGUUUUAUUUCUUGACAAACACCUGAUGCAGAAUAAAGAAUUAUAAUACUUAACACUUACAUAGAGAUUUAUAUUUUCAGAGACUGAUCUCUUCACCUCCAUGGAAGUUUUAUCUGAGGAAGGAGUGUAGGAUCAAGCACUCAAAACAAUGUAAAUAUGUAUUGUUAUGAGCUCUUUGUUUUCUGUAUUAAGUGACUUUGAAGGCAUCAUCUCUUGCAGAAGACACCUGAACUGCUGAAUUCAGACCGGAAUUCUGUCAGAUACAAUAACCUUUUGGAAAAAAUUUCACUUCCCCUUCAAGUUUGUAUUACCUUGUUCUGAUAUUAAAUACAAUUUCAACUAACCCUGUAACAGUUAGCUCCUCAACUUCCUUCUGAAUUUUACAGACUUUGGUGAUGUUCCCUCUGAAUCUACUUUUUACAAAUACAUAUAUAGAAAUUGUGGGUAAAAUUCUGCUCUUACACUGACAUAACUCCACUCAAGUCAAUGAAAUUACUUCAGAUUUACCCCAGUAUAAUGAAGAGCAGAAACUGGCCUAUUUCGAUAACAAUUCUUCUUGAAUCUCUGAAGCAUGCUGGCUGUCACUGCUGUACUUUCUCCAGUUCUAAAAUAUGCUUUUUAUAUUGUAAUGACAGUGGUUCAUGGUAUCUAAAUGUGGCCUUGCUAGUACAUUGUAUUAGAGUUGGAAUCAUCCCUCAUAUUGACUUGAUAUCUUGAGAUUUGCAAAGCACAACUAUUAUCUCUGAAGACGAUAGUUCUAAAAUAUUAAUGUUUUUCUAUUAUUAACUUUAUCUUUACGGUAUACAAAGAAAAUGAGAUAAGAAACCAGAACCUAUACAUUUAUGUAGGUAAAGAAGCAAUAUUUUUAACUCAGCCCAGUGAAAUAUUAUAGCCAAAAAUGAUUAUGUGCGUUGCAAAAAAUGACGUAACAUCAGACCUUCACAAUACAACUUGAGCAAAGGCCUUGAUACAAACAAAUAUGUAGCAAAAUCUCCCAAUAGGAUGUUUCUGGCCAUAUUUACA